rnacentral:rRNA from 1 species
CCUACGGGAGGCAGCAGUGAGGAAUAUUGGUCAAUGGGCGGAAGCCUGAACCAGCCAUGCCGCGUGCAGGAUGACGGCCCUACGGGUUGUAAACUGCUUUUGCACGGGAAGAAUAACCCCCUCGUGAGGGGGGAUGCCGGUACCGUGCGAAUAAUGAUCGGCUAACUCCGUGCCAUCAGCCGCGGUAAUACGGAGGAUCCGAGCGUUAUCCGGAUUUACUGGGUUUAAAGGGUGCGUAGGCGGGCGCCUAAGUCAGCGGUGAAAGGCAGCGGCUCAACCGUUGAACUGCCGUUGAAACUGGGCGCCUUGGAUUCGGUCGGGGCCGGCGGAAUGCGUGGUGUAACGGCGAAAUGCUUAUAUAUCACGCGGAACGCCUAUCGCGAAAGCAGCUGGACAGGCCGAGAUCGACGCUGAGGCACGAAAGCGUGUGGAUCAAACA